GGGUAAAGCGGGCCGCAUGCGCACACGCCUGAUAAGCGUGAGGUCGGUAGUUCAAAUCUACCCGGGCCCA
rnacentral:tRNA from 1 species